rnacentral:lncRNA from 1 species
UUACCCUUGAGAUCAAAACUACCAUAUUUCACUAGAAAAUGAUAAAAAAGAAAAAAAGGAGCCAUCUACUGAAAAAAAUCCUUCUUAAAAGUAAAUAGAGAGGAGCCCCAAGGAGACUUUGGAAGGCAAUAGUCUAAAUAAGGUGACCAGGGUGAAGCCGUGAGUGUAACCCGUGUAACUAAGAACUGUGUACCAGGAGCCAUUGUUCUGGGACAUAUAGAAAGAGCAAAUGUAUUGCCAAAGGGGCCAUGACAAUCAGUAUAUUUUCAAAGGUUGAUUUAGCAGUCUUUAAUCAGCAGUGAGUGGGAAAAGAGGAUGCACGCAUUGGCUGGUGUGAAUAUGCUGGUCCAUUCGGCAGAUAAAUUCCUAAGGUGGAAGUGAGUAUACCAUU